rnacentral:lncRNA from 1 species
GUCCUCUCCACUUUCCAUCUCCCACCCCUCGCCUUCCUCCCGCCUCCUUCUCCUCCCCACUCCCUCUCCUUCUCUCCUCCUUCUCCCUCCCCCCUUCCCCUCCUUCUCCUCCCUCUCCCUCCUCUUCUUUCCCCCUUCUUCCCCCUCCCGCUCCUCUCCCUCCCUCUCCUUCUCCCCCUCCUCCUCCCUCCCUCUUCUCCCUUCCUCCCCCGACUCCUUCUCUCCUCCCUUCUUUCUCCCCUCCCCAUCACCGCUCUUUUUGGUGUGUUGCUCACUUUCUCCUCAGUUUGUCCAAACACUUUCAGUUUUCACUUUCAGGAAGUGUUGAGGUCCACACCCAACUCAGGCUCUCCAUCCCUGAGGGGAAGCACGUGGCUGUCCCCUUUCGGUGGAUUUCAAGCAUCCCUGGCGCAGGUGCAGCGGCCUUGCCCUGGGCUCACCAGCAGCCUUUGGGGUCCCAGUUGGCAGGCAGCCCUGUUCCCUGGGGGUCCCUGCCGGAGCUGCUGGUCCCUGGAGCUACCCCGUGAGUACUUUUCUGUCUUGGAAUAGGAUGUUCAAGUGCACAGGUCACGGGUAAGGACGGAGGCAUAGAUUAAUCCGGCCCCUCACUGCCCCGAGGAACCCAGGAUCUGGCACGGUCCUCGGCAUGCUCAUGCUGCAGUGAAUGAGCGAGUGAGAGUGAACUGACAGGCGCGGGGAGGAAGAGGCUGAAGCACGCUUCACUUGCCCGCAGUUUUGUGAGGGCGGGGUCUGUAGGCCGGAAAGGAAUUCUUCACCCCGGAAGUGAAUGCUUGUCGCAUGCAUUAAAUAGCCUGAUUUGGCUGUCCCUUUCCCCACCGGUUUUGCUGCAGUCAUUCUUUGGCG